rnacentral:rRNA from 1 species
CAGUCGCCGCGGUAAUACAGAGGGUGCGAGCGUUAAUCGGAUUUACUGGGCGUAAAGCGUGCGUAGGCGGCUUUUUAAGUCGGAUGUGAAAUCCCUGAGCUUAACUUAGGAAUUGCAUUCGAUACUGGGAAGCUAGAGUAUGGGAGAGGAUGGUAGAAUUCCAGGUGUAGCGGUGAAAUGCGUAGAGAUCUGGAGGAAUACCGAUGGCGAAGGCAGCCAUCUGGCCUAAUACUGACGCUGAGGUACGAAAGCAUGGGGAGCAAACAGGAUUAGAGACCCGUGUAGUCCCUGUCUCUUAUAC